GGAGGCCUAGCGAAGUGGCUAAACGCGGCGGUCUGUAAAACCGCUCUCUGAGUUCGGUGGUUCGAAUCCACUGGCCUCCA
rnacentral:tRNA from 1 species